UUCACACACAGACACGGGCGGGAAGAGGCGCUCCAUUUUGGUGGCAAGUCAGGACGGGAGAGAGGACUUGUUGGCGCCGUGAGCCGCUACCCCCACCCACCACCCCGCCCCGCUCCGCUCCGCUCCGCUGCAACAGUUCCGCCCGCAUCCCGGCCGGGGAAGUGGUGGCGCUGUAGCUCAACGUCCCCUCCUUCCCUCCCCCACACGCUCCGUGUGACCGGAUGAGCGCGGCCCCCGCUUCCGCACCUUCUGCAUCGGGGACAAAGGGAGUCGCAGCGGCCCUCGGCCCGGACCCGCGCUCACGCGCCGACGACCCCCUCGCCACCCUCCUUCCCUCUCCUCCCAUCGCGGCUCGCCCGGGCGGGCGAACGAAAGCCGCUAGCCCAGAAUAAGAAAAUGAUGUAUUUGCGGGAUCGGAGGGAGAAACUGCUUUCCUUUAUUGUGUGCUCCAGCAGUACUUCAUAUAAAUUAUUGGCAUGAGGCGGUAAUAAUCGUCAACAAGAGAGGUCCUCACGUUCACUGGACUGUGUGUAGCAGCUCUCCUUAGCUUCGGGGCUUUUAAAAUGCUUUUGGGGGCAGCUGGAUGGAGACAUUUUGUGAAGAAGUAGAAGCAGGAAUUUAAUACGCUGACCAUAACCUCUCAUUCCACCGCUGAUGUCAUUAGGGUCCAUGCACAAAAUGUCUGCGUUUGCAAUACGCCUUUGGCCAAUAGUUUGAAAGCAAAUGCAGGCUCCAAAAAGAAGCUGGAUUUAACUGUAUCACCUAGUCCCCUCUGUGAUUAUUGAGGGAAAUUCACUAGUGUAUUUAUCAAUGUAAAAAUAAAUGCAAGCAUUGAGAUUCAGUGUGAAA